AUUGAACGCUGGCGGAAUGCUUUACACAUGCAAGUCGAACGGCAGCACGGACUUCGGUCUGGUGGCGAGUGACGAACGGGUGAGUAAUGUAUCGGAACGUGCCCAGUCGUGGGGGAUAACGUAGUGGAAAUUACGCUAAUACCGCAUACGAUCUAUGGAUGAAAGCGGGGGAUCGCAAGACCUCGCGCGAUUGGAGCGGCCGAUAUCAGAUUAGGUAGUUGGUGGGGUAAAGGCCCACCAAGCCAACGAUCUGUAGCCGGUCUGAGAGGACGACCAGCCACACUGGUACUGAGACACGGUCCAGACUCCCACGGGAGGCAGCAGUGGGGAAUUUUGGACAAUGGGCGAAAGCCUGAUCCAGCCAUUCCGCGUGCAGGAUGAAGGCCCUCGGGUUGUAAACUGCUUUUGUACAGAACGAAAAGGUUUCUACUAAUACUAGGAGCUCAUGACGGUACUGUAAGAAUAAGCACCGGCUAACUACGUGCCAGCCGCCGCGGUAA
rnacentral:rRNA from 1 species